UCCUUCUCAGGGUUACACCUGGAGAGUUUCCAGUACUCUUCCAGGCUCGGCUACAGGAGGGAGAGUCAAGCAGAGGUCUACCCAUUCCAUUCUUAGCUUGGGAAGUGGCUAGCAAGUGGAAGGCAAUCUGCUACAAAU